GACGAACGCUGGCGGCGUGCUUAACACAUGCAAGUCGAGCGGUAAGGCCCUUUCGGGGGUACGACGAGCGGCGAACGGGUGAGUAACACGUGGGUGACCUGCCCUCAGCUCUGGGAUAAGCCUGGGAAACCGGGUCUAUACUGGAUAUGACUCCAUGACGCAUGUUGUGGGGUGGAAAGCCUUGUGCGGCUGAGGAUGGGGCCCCGCGGCCUAUCAGCUUGUUGGUGGGGUGANGGCCUACCAAGGCGACGACGGGUAGCCGGCCUGAGAGGGCGACCGGCCACACUGGGACUGAGACACGGCCCAGACUCCUACGGGAGGCAGCAGUGGGGAAUCUUGCGCAAGUGGGCGAAAG
rnacentral:rRNA from 1 species